rnacentral:rRNA from 1 species
AGCUCCAAUAGCGUAUAUUAAAGUUGUUGCAGUUAAAAAGCUCGUAGUUGGAUUUCUGGGUAGAGCGACCGGUCCGCCGCUGUGCGGUGUGUACUUGUGUUCGACUCUACUCAUCCUUGUGGGGAAACGCAUUACGGCAUUAAGUUGUCGUGGCGGGGAACCGCAUCAUUUACUGUGAAAAAAUUAGAGUGUUUAAAGCAGGCAAAUCGCUGUGAAUACAUUAGCAUGGAAUAAUAACAUAGGACUUUGGUUCUAUUUUGUUGGUUGGAGGCCAAGGUAAUGAUUAAUAGGGAUAGUUGGGGGUAUUCAUAUUUAAUUGUCAGAGGUGAAAUUCUUGGAUUUAUGAAAGAUGAACUCAUGCGAAAGCAUUUACCAAGGAUGUUUUCA